CCUACGGGAGGCAGCAGUGAGGAAUAUUGGUCAAUGGGAGAGAUCCUGAACCAGCCAAGCAGCGUGAGGGAAGACGGCCCUAUGGGUUGUAAAACUCUUUUGUCGGAGAACAAAAUCCGGGACGUGUCCCGGACUGUGUGUAUUUGAUGAAAAAGAAUCGGCUAACUCCGUGCCAGGAGCCGCGGUAAUACGGAGGAUGAGAGCGUUAUCCGGAUUUAUUGGGUUUAAAGGGAGCGUAGAUGGGUUGGUAAGUCAGUGGUGAAAGUUUGGGGCUCAACCGCAAAAAUGCAAUUGAAACUGGCAGUCUUGAGUACGGUUGAGGUAGGCGGAAUUCGUGGUGUAGCGGUGAAAUGCUUAGAUAUCACGAAGAACUCCGAUUGCGAAGGCAGCUUACUAAACUGCCACUGACAUUGAUGCUCGAAAGUGUGGGUAUCAAACAGGAUUAGAUACCCUUGUAGUC
rnacentral:rRNA from 1 species